rnacentral:lncRNA from 13 species
AACGGGGGCAGGGAGAAGGCUGGGAGGCCCAGGAAGGGAAGCAGCAGCUCUUGUGCUUUGGAUUUACAGAGAGGAGCUGUGCCUGCAGUGUCCUGCCUGUGGCACACAGCGUGCCAAACACACGUCCCGGGAACGGGCACUGGGCUGCGCAGGCAGCGCUGGGAUGGACAUGGAUAAAGGGCUGCCCGCGGCCCCUCGGCCAGGGGCUGCUCUGAACAGGCACCCGCAGAUGCUUCAGCCCCGACAGACCCCACUGACACCCCAGAAAUGCCCCAAGGAACAGCUGGCACCGGGGAAUGUCAGCACGGGGCGUUUCCAGAGAGGCUCAGACAGUAACUCCCAGUGCCAAGCUCCUGGAACUCCCAGACACCCACCAGAUGAUGGACUUGCCUCUAUGGACGUAUGCUGAGCUCUCACUGCGGGGGACCAUCAGGCCUUAAUGGCUUGAGAAGAACAUGAGUGGUGGAGAGAAAGGAGAAAAGCUGUUCUCCCAGUUCUGGAUCAAGCAGUUUGAAACAGCCAAUACUGUCCUCACCUACAGCCGUGGCAGGUUCCCUCCCUCCUUCAGCCUUGCCCUGACUUCUGAGGGACCAGAGGCACCACACAACCCAAAACUAUCAGCACUCACACUCACUACUAGUUAUGGACACCUUCGUGUUCCAUCUUCGGCCAAACAAACCCCAGGAUAUUUUUGCUUUCCUGACAGACUUGAACCAAUGCCCGCAGCAGCCCCGGGAAGGAACACACGGGACUGUGGUGGAACCAAGGAAUGGAGGAGCUAUCCUGUCCCAGCUCUGCCUCCUCUGCUGGGAGCAGGGGAGAUGCAGCUCUCAACCAUAACAUCACUUCAGCUCAAUCUCACAAGAAUUACCUGGCAACACUUACUAUUGACCCCAAAGUCCCAGUGCAUCAUCUGUGUGCUAUCUCAAGAAGUUCAGCUGGUCUUUGUGGGACAAAACCUGUGUUGUGUCGUUAGAACUGACUCUAAUGCCUGCUACCUGAACUAUCCAGCUGUAGGAUCAAUAUAAACAUUAGAUUCUUGAGGGCAGAGUUUGUCACCCUCUGUAAAGCUCGAGGGGAGAACGAGGCUCAAAAAGCAGCUCUUGAUGCCUCCAGCACCUGCUGCUGGAAGCACUGGCAGGACUUUGUACAGAUGAGUUCGAACCUUUACACAGCUCUGUCCGUGGGACCAAGGGCGGCAAACCGGAGAGACUGAUGGAAAUAAAACAAAUUAUUGAUUGAAAUGGACACUGAUGAGACUGAAAGCCCUUCCCCAGAAGUGUUCCCUGCCCAGCACAGGAGCUGUAACUGCUGGAGCAGGGCCUGAUAUCUGAUGAACGCUGCAGCCAUGACAUUAAAGGCAGCAAAAACAAUUACUAAGUAGAAAUAGAUCCUCACCCAGUCCAAUGACCGAAUCUCUGUGGCUCAUCCUCAAGGGGUGACCCUGCUCCAGGCAGGAAUCUCCACAGAGCCCUCAAGAACUGGGGUAAGACACUGCCCUGCCCUACCAGCAGAAGACAAGGGGUUAACAAAGCUUUUUGGACACAUUCUGCCCUCAGAGUUGUUCGACAAAACAUCCAUCAAUACAAAUCUUUAAUAAAGACAGCUUGUACCUAUGCAUGCAAUAGACUUUUGUAUGUUAUUUCCUCAAAUGUCUCCGUUUUAAUAUAUUUUUAUACUAGAAGUGUUUAAACAAGGUUUAACAUGAGUUCUGCACCCCGCCAUGCUCCAAGCCCUAAGCAAGAGCUGGAUAUCCUCACACUCAUCCAAGCUGAGGCAGCUCUCAGGUAGGGAGGGAGCUGCUGCUGCAGACAGACAUUUAAAAAUCAUCCCUGCCUUGAGGGUGUCCAGGCCUGGUAGAAAGCCUUUCCCACCACCCUCUUGGAUUUCCCUCCCUGCCACUGGCUUUGCUUCCAGCUUGGGAAGGUUUGUCCUGGGGGCAUUUCAGCAUCCAAAAGGGCUUUUCCAACUUCAGGGAUUCCAUGGGACACCCAGUGACUGACCCAGCUGCACAGACAGGCAUGGGAAGUUCUUACACACAGAUUAUCCUGCCUUGAGCCAGAGCACUCCAGGGCAUCCUUGAGAGAGUGCAGACAGCAGGAAAAACACACAGCUACAACACUGAUCCUGCUCCAUGCUUUCCCAGUGGGGCAUGAACACCAUUUCAUCCUGAUCUUGAGAGCUCCAAGGAAAAUCACUAGUAAGGUGGCACUGAAGACACCACUUUUCUGACACUCCUGCCCCAGAACCACAGCCCAACAGGUUUCUGUGGGAGCCUGAAUGAUUUGUGCAGCUUCUGAGCUGCACAUCCCUAAAGCAUUCCCUUAGGAGCAUGAAGCUUCCCGUGUGCAUGUUGUAGUCCAAUUUGUAACUUAAGCAUAUUUCAAGACAGUUUAAGUCAGAAUGAGGAGACUUGGUGACAGCACAGCAUUAGAUAUGGGACAUCAGGAGACUCACCAGACAACGCUCACUACAGCCUCUCCAUUCUCAGCACUCCAGCUGCAGUAUUCUCAUUUCUCAGUUCUGUUUCCAGGACUCCCAUCAGGCCAUUUCCAGACGCAAAUCCCCAAGGUGUCACUGGCCCAAGAUAUUGCUCCUCUACCUUCCACCAUCCCCCUCCCCGAUCCUUUACCCCUUUUAUAACCACGGCCCCACCCAGGACACAACAGGAGGCUCCCAGGUGCCUCCUGAGACCCAAAUCAUUCCAGGUGGGUCAGGAAAUAAAUACAAAUAAACUCGUCCCUUUAGGAGUAACGAAUUGUUUUUGUCCCCAUUCCCCCUUCCCUCUCCUGUUCCUGGUUCCUAAGGCAGAACACAGAGAUCAGGUGGGGUCAGGGGGAAAAUGUCUAGUCCAAAACCAAACAAAACUUGUUUUUCCAUCGGUUUCCUUCAGGACUGUUCAGUUUUUCCCACUCACCUUCGGCCGUAACGACAGGAGCAGCUUCUCGCUGCGACCCAUGGGAGUGGGCACAGGGACACCCAUCCCGCUGCUUCCCGGGAAACGGAGCUCAGCCCAUCCCACAAAACGUUGUCAUCGCAGCUGGGAACGCGGCACGAGCUUUAUUCCAUGAAAAAUGAUCCCAGAGAGCCUCAAGUCUCGGGACAAACUCGUCCCACACUGCAGUUGGGUCCCAGGUAUCAGUGCUAAAAGAACGCACGUGCCCCUGCGGAUCCCACCGGAUCCAGGUGACCCCUGCGCAGCCCUCUCUCCCUUCCGCCCACUCACCUGAAGGCACCGGUCGCUCGUUCCCGGCGAUUUUCCCCAUCCCUGGCUCAGGACAGCCCGUUCCUGGCGCAGCUGCCGCUGGCACAGCGGGAACAGGGCCGCCGAAGGAAAGCGCCCCGCGGGUUCCGCGCCCCGGGGCGCGCUCGGACGGACGCGGGGGCGGAACCGCAGCCGCCGGUGCAGCGCCCAUCGCGGGGCCCCGCCCCUGCGGGUACCGCGGCGCCAGCUUUUCCUGUGGCAGCAGCUGUCCUAGGUCAUUGCUGCUCUUUCCAGGGAGUGAAAACCGCCUUGGGGAUUUGCUUCUGAUAACAGUAACCACAUUUCUGAUGGGAGUCCUUGAAACAGAACUGAGUAUCUGUGACAAAUGACGAUGCUACAGCUGGAG